UUUUCCCUGACCCGGCCGGGCGGGGGAUAACCUGAGUUCUUAGUGGGCAGAUGGAGAGAGGAAGGAUUCCCUCCUCCCCCAAAUUACAUAAUUUAAAAUGUAGCCUGGAUGCGACCUCCCUUUGCCUGGAUGCGCCCGCUCUCUCUCUCUUUCUUACUUAGAACUCUGGAAUGUUUCGGUCUUUACACUGGCCGCGUCUACAGGGACAAAGGCCGCGCGGCUCCAGGGAGCAGCAGUCCGUCUCGGCGGGGGUCAGAGCUGCGGCAGCCGGCAGGGCCGAGCGACUUCGUGAUUUGUAAAUUUAAGAUGUCGGCGUUCAAAGUACACGGAACGAUAAUAAAAGGAGCUGGCAUGCAAGGGGCACGUGCGCGUGCCAGGCGCUCCGUUAAGCACCCCACCCAAGUGAGCUCACCAUUAACCCCUAUGAGGUGGGUAUGAUUUUUAUCCCUGUUUGACAGAGGAGGAAACUGAGGCACACGGCAGUUAAGUCACUUAACCAAGAUCACCUGGGACACUGGAGCCGGAAUUCCAGUCGAAGGCGACGCCAGAACCCACUUCAAUCCCUCUUCCUAAUUCAGGUGGAGGCGUAUGUACGUACCUAUGCUGCACGUGUCCCCGGCUGCAGAGAAAUCUAUGGGCGUGUUCCGAGUUUUCGUGUGUCUCACGCGCCCUUUGGAGGAGAGAACAUUUUCAUUUCUCUGGGCAUCGGUCUAGCAGUGGGAAAAGUGCAGCUUCUUUUAGGUGUUCCAUUCCCCCGCCCUCUCUCCCCGGGCAAAGACCAAAGGCUUGAUGAAGCGAGGGGUGCACUGGGGGCAAAACCCCAUUUAAAAAUGCCUGUGGCGGGGCCCAGGGGCAGAAACCGUGUUCUCAUUCUGAUCUGAGUUGAGAGCCAGAGGAAUGACAGCGGGGCCGGCCUGUGCCAGGCCAGGCAGGGUGACCCCGCUGACUCCAGAGUGUCGCCUCCCCCGCGGGGUGGGAGAGGGACACUCGGGCUUGGGGUGUCUUGGGCGUCUCGACUCCAGGCCUCGGAUCCUCUCUCUAUCUUCCCUACAUUCGCUGCGCUCCAUCCGCCCAGGCGCCAAGGCCGGGGACUGCGUGCAGGUGGGGACCGCGGGCAUCAGCACCAUUUGUUUCCUUCCACCCUGCCCAGCCUCCCGGAACCUAAGCGAGCUCAGUCGUCCCUGCCCUCUUCCGCUCAACUCUCUGGCCUCAGCUGGGAGCUCAGCUCGUGGGGAGAAAGAUUCUGCGGUGAAGCGGGAGAAGGGGUGUUUCGUGCACAGCCCUGCGUAGCAGAAGGGGUGCCUGAUUAUGGCGCGGCGCGGCCCAGCUUCCUGCAGCUUGGGCAUCCGCAGGCCCCACGCACCUGGAGAGCCGAGGCCGGGUGGGCUGCAGGCCGGGCAGGGGUGAAACGACACAUUGCUGGAGUAGGGACUGGCCACCCCUCUUCUCUGCCCCAAGCCGCAAAGCGCUUCCUGCCGGGCAGCUGAGAUGAAGUCAGGCUGCCUUUGCGUCUUGGAUCGAGCAGCUUCGGCUCCGUCCCUGGAAUGGGAGGCGCGUGGGGGCUUAGUGAGGGGACAUUGGGACCAUCCCGAGCUGUCCGGGUCUCCACCCCACCCCAGCCCCAGUCCAAAGUCCCCAGUCAGCCGGUCUCUUUGAGCUUUUGAAAUGCGAUCUCCCGAGCCACUUCGGUUUCCCGCUAAUGACCCCGGCUCUGGUUUCGGGUUGGGGAAUUGCACUUGGUGGGGGGGGGGGAGGAUUGCUCCCCCAGGCCCGCGCCAGCCAACUCUCGCCUAGGCGCUCUUCCUGCCGGCGAGGUGCGGUCCUGCCCCCUCAAGGUCCCCAAAGCGUCCUGGAUACCCAAGCACGGAACUGACACUCGCUCGCCUGACUUCCUUUCUGCCACUUUGGCGGUGCGGUUCGCCCCCGGCCCGAAUGUCGGCAUCUUUAAUUCACUUCGGCGGCGGUAGCUCCGGGAGAGGGGGAGAGGGCCGGCUGUUUGUGGGCGUAACUUCGUCACACCCCCCACCCCGUCGCCCAGUCCCCCAAUCCUUCCAACACAGGCUUGGAACCGAGGUGUGAGCCUGUUAUGGGAGCCAGCCGAACAGUGGACCCAUCAUCCCCGGUCACCACCCGGCCUACCCCGUGGCGCCCACUCUCCCCAAGGCCAGCACCGGUUAGCUAAUUGGGUAUUUAUUCUCUAGGGUGGGCGCUCUUCAAGGAAGCCAGAGCUCACGACUUCAGGGAAGCCGCAGAAAUCACAGAAGUUUGUUCCUGCGCAUAUAUUGGGAUUUGGGGGCACAGGAGCCCUGCGAUUUUGCCCAGAGUCUUGGAGACGCGUGAGCCCAACCAAAUGAAGAACCCCUCGCUCCCCUGGGAACAAAAAGAAAUGAGAAGAAGUUUUCAGGAGGUCCCUGGGGACUCUUGUCUUGGCCAGGUCAACCUUAGUUUAAGGGACUAAUUCCAUCUUUCUAACCUUCUAGAAGGACACUCUUUCCUUGCUUAUUUUGAAGCUAAGCCUCCAGACCCCCAGGGCCCCAGGCAUUGUCUAAUUAGUUGACUAGUUAAUGAUAUUAACUCAUCAGCCAAAUGAUUAUGAACAAUCAUUAUCACCCCUAA